UGCCGACCCAGGUUAGAGUGCUCAGUCUGCACAGGGUACUGGCAUGUAGGGUGUCAUGCAUGUGCGAAGUGUCAACCCAGGUUAGAGUGUGCAGUCUGUACAGGUUACUGGCAUGUAGGGUGCCGUGCAUGUGCCGACCCAGGUUAGAGUGCACAGUCUGUACAGGUUACUGGCAUGUAGGGUGCCGUGCAUGUGCCGACCCAGGUUAGAGUGUGCAGUCUGCACAGGUUACUGGCAUGUAGGGUGUCGUGCAUGUGCCGACCCAGGUUAGAGUGUGCAGUCUGCACAGGUUACUGGCAUGUAGGGUGUCGUGCAUGUGCCGACCCAGGUUAGAGUGUGCAGUCUGCACAGGUUACUGGCAUGUAGGGUGUCGUGCAUGUGCAAAGUGUCAACCCAGGUUAGAGUGCACAGUCUGUACAGGUUACUGGCAUGUAGGGUGUCGUGCAUGUGCCGACCCAGGUUAGAGUGUGCAGUCUGCACAGGUUACUGGCAUGUAGGGUGUCGUGCAUGUGCCGACCCAGGUUAGAGUGUGCAGUCUGUACAGGGUACUGGCAUGUAGGGUGUCGUGCAUGUGCCGACCCAGGUUAGAGUGUGCAGUCUGCACAGGUUACUGGCAUGUAGGGUGUCGUGCAUGUGCCGACCCAGGUUAGAGUGUGCAGUCUGCACAGGUUACUGGCAUGUAGGGUGUCGUGCAUGUGCAAAGUGUCAACCCAGGUUAGAGUGUGCAGUCUGUACAGGUUACUGGCAUGUAGGGUGCCGUGCAUGUGCCGACCCAGGUUAGAGUGUGCAGUCUGUACAGGUUACUGGCAUGUAGGGUGUCGUGCAUGUGCCGACCCAGGUUAGAGUGUGCAGUCUGCACAGGGUACUGGCAUGUAGGGUGUCUUGCAUGUGCAAAGUGUCGACCCAGGUUAGAGUGCGCAGUCUGUACAGGUUACUGGCAUGUAG